UGAAUACGAGACGCUACGGCGUCGAAGCAGUCUAUGUCAUACUUCCAAGAAAAGCUUGCACUGUCAUAAACAAAUAAUGCCUGUACCAUAACCGACACAGGUGGGUAGGUAGAGUAUACUAAGGGGCGCGAGAUAACUCUCUCUAAGGAACUCGGCAAAAUGACUCCGUAACUCCGGGAGAAGGAGUGCCUUAAGAAAUUAAGGUUGCAAUAACAAGAUCCAAGCAACUGUUUAUCAAAAACACAGGUCUCCGCUAAGUCGUAAGACGAUGUAUGGGGGCUGACGCCUGCCCAGUGCCAGAAGGUUAAAGAAGUCGGUUAGCAUUAGCGAAGCUGGUAACUGAAGCCCUGGUGAACGGCGGCCGUAACUAUAAGGUCCUAAGGUAGCGAAAUUCCUUGUCGGGUAAGUUCCGACCCGCACGAAAGGCGUAAUGAUUUGGAUUCUGUCUCGGAGAGGGACUCGGUGAAAUAGACUUGUCUGUGAAGAUGCGGACUACCUGCACCAGGACAGAAAGACCCUAUGAAGCUUUACUGUAACUUGAAAUUGAAAUUGGACUUUACUUGCGCAGUAUAGGUGGGAGGCGUGGAGAAUAUUCUUGCGGGAAUAUUGGAGCCAUCAGUGAGAUACCACUCUUGUAAUGUUAGAUUUCUAACUUUGUAUCAUUAUCUGGUCAAAGAACAGUUUCAGGCGGGCAGUUUGACUGGGGCGGUCGCCUCCUAAACGGUAACGGAGGCGCACAAAGGUUUCCUCUGAACGGGUAGAAAUCGUAUCUAGAGUGUAAAGGCAUAAGGAAGCUUGACUGUGAGACCUACAAGUCGAGCAGGGACGAAAGUCGGUCUUAGUGAUCUGACGGUGCUGAGUGGAAAGGCCGUCACUCAACGGAUAAAAGUUACUCUAAGGAUAACAGGCUGAUCUCCCCCAAGAGUUCACAUCGACGGGGAGGUUUGGCACCUCGAUGUCGGCUCAUCGCAUCCUGGGGCGGUAGUACGUCCCAAGGGUUGGGCUGUUCGCCCAUGAAAGCGGUACGCGAGCUGGGUUCAGAACGUCGUGAGACAGUUCGGUCCAUAUCCGGUGUAGGCGUUAGAAUAUUGAGAGGAGCCUUCUUUAGUACGAGAGGACCGAGAAGGACAUACCUCUGGUGUACCAGUUAUCGUGCCAACGGUAAACGCUGGGUAGCCAUGUAUGGAGAGGAUAACCGCUGAAAGCAUCUAAGUGGGAAGCCCACCUCAAGAUAAG
rnacentral:rRNA from 1 species